AGAGAUGUGUGAUGACGCAUAUCAAUAAGCGGAGGAAAAGAAACUAACAAGGAUUCCCUUAGUAACGGCGAGUGAAGCGGGAAGAGCUCAAAUUUGAAAUCUUCAAGGUUCUACCUUGACGAAUUGUAGUUUAUAGAAGUGUUUUCUGUUAGUGGAGUGGCAAAAGUUCUUUGGAAUAGGACACUCAUAGAGGGUGAGAAUCCCGUAUUUGGUCAUUCUUUCUAGCUUUGUGAUACACUUUCAACGAGUCGGAUUGUUUGGGAAUGCAGUCCAAAAUGGGUGGUAAAUUUCAUCUAAAGCUAAAUAUUGGCGAGAGACCGAUAGCGAACAGGUACCGUGAGGGAAAGAUGAAAAGAACUUUGAAAAGAGAGUUAAACAGUACGUGAAAUUGUCAGAAGGGAAGCGUUUGACACCAGUGUUGUUUUUCCGAAAAUCAAUUACGAAUGUUUUGUUUUUAAGAAGUUAUGACUUCAUCGGCUUGCUUCUCUCUUUAUGAAACUUUCUUAAUGCACUUUUCGGUUAACAAGUCAACAUCAAUUUCUUUUGUUGUAAAAGGGUAUGAGGAAGGUGGCUUUCUUUUCGGAGAAAGUGUUUAUAGCCUUGUACCUCUGCAAUCGGAGAGAUUGAGGUCUGCAGCGUAGAUCCUUCGGGGUUAGAUACAUUUGUGCUAAGUUAUAGCUUUUCAUAGACAACUUGUUGACUAUGUUAAGUCUUGUAGCUUACUCGCUUACUGCUAUUUUACCUACGCUUAGGAUGUUGAAGUCAUCGUAUCGCGC
rnacentral:rRNA from 1 species